UCAAAUUUUAGCAACUCAUGUGAAAUUCCUGGAGACCGGAGGGGCAAGGGUUGUCCCUAUCAAGAUACACCAGACUGUGGAGGAGUACACGAGACUGUUCAACUCCAUUAAUGGGGUCUAUUUCCCAGGUGGACGUGUAAACUGCACCUCAUCUGCUUAUGCAAGGUCUGCAAAGAUCUUUUAUGACCUUGCUAUUGAGG